GGUUGGAUCAUUAAAAAUCUAAUUUUUCGGUGAGGGAGCGUUAAGGUAUUAGUAAAUGGUUAAACAUUUACUGAUACCUUAUGUUAAGUGGUAAUAUGACGUUUGUCUGUUGACAGAUGGAAUAUUGCCAUGAUCCUUCAUUGAUCAACCCAUUGUGAAACAUAUCGUACCCUCCAGUUAAAGGACUGUAAAGUCUUUUUGCUGGGCAUUUCUAACCAACCCUUUAAACUUGACUGAAAUUUUUAUGAAAAUAAAAAUAAACAACUUUUGACAACGGAUCUCUUGGCUCUCGCAACGAUGAAGAACGCAGCGAAAUGCGAUACGUAAUGUGAAUUGCAGAAUUCCGUGAAUCAUCGAAUCUUUGAACGCAUAUUGCACUCUUCUUUUAGGAGAGUAUGCCUGUUUGAGAAUCUAUAGUAUUUAUUUUUGAACUUUGGUUUGAAAGAUUUGAGUUUUCCAUUAAGAGAUUGAUGGUGACUUUAAAUACAUUGCUAGGCGCGCUGCAAGGAUGUUGACGUUUGUGCAGUCCCUGAAAAGUAUUUGAAUAGAACUUUGUUCUUUCCCAUGCCGAUUAAGGUGAAUAGCAUCUACUAGUCUUUGUAGGGUGAAUGGUCCAUAAAUUAUAGGGAAAGUCUUAGGAUUUUCCUUGAACCAUGGUCUCAAAUCAGGUAGGAAGACCCGCUGAACUUAAGCAUAUCAAUAAGCGGAGGAAAAGAAACUAACAAGGAUUCCCCUAGUAACGGCGAGUGAAGCGGGAACAGCUCAAAUUUGAAAUCUCACUGGUUUCCAGUGCGAAUUGUAGUUUAGAGAAGCGUUUUCAGGGUCGACUUUGAGUACAAGUUCUUUGGAACAAGACAUCAUAGAGGGUGAAAAUCCCGUCUUUGACUCAAGGUUCGACUCUAUGUGAUACGUUUUCCAAGAGUCGGUUUGUUUGGGAAUGCAGACCAAAAUGGGUGGUAAAUACCAUCUAAAGCUAAAUAUUGGCGAGAGACCGAUAGCGAACAAGUACCGUGAGGGAAAGAUGAAAAGAACUUUGAAAAGAGAGUUAAAUAGUACGUGAAAUUGUCAAAAGAGAAACGUUUGAAACCAGUAUUGUGGGCAGAAAUUCAGCUAUAGUUUACUAUGGUGUAUUUUUCUGUCUACGAGUCAACAUCAGUUUUGUUUGAAGUAAAAAGCCGUAGGAAGGUAGCUCUUCGGAGUGUUAUAGCCUGCGGUCAUGCUUUGGAUGGGACUGAGGACUGCAGCGUUUUUUGAGGAACCGGUCGCCUUUUGAAGUAGCGGAGUUAAAUGCUUGCAGAUGACUUUGUCUAUCAGGAAGUACGGUCGGUGUACUACACCAACGCUUAGGAUGUUGACGAAAUGGUUUUAAACGACCCGUCUUGAAACACGGACCAAGGAGUCUAACAUAUAUGCGAGUAUUUGGGUGGUAAACCCUUAUGCGUAAUGAAAGUGAAAAGGUGGGAUCCUUUAUUGGUGCACCAUCGGCCGCGCCAGAUUAUUACUAUCUCGGCGUGAGUAUGAGCAUACAUGUUGGGACCCGAAAGAUGGUGAACUAUGCCUGAAUAGGGUGAAGCCAGAGGAAACUCUGGUGGAGGCUCGUAGCGGUUCUGACGUGCAAAUCGAUCGUCGAAUUUGGGUAUAGGGGCGAAAGACUAAUCGAACCAUCUAGUAGCUGGUUCCCUC
rnacentral:misc_RNA from 1 species